UUUGCCGAGCCUUGCGUUGGGCUGCUUUAUCUGCCCCUGACAUGUUCGCUCUCGCUGGGUGAGUGUCAAUUCUUCUUCUUCCACCUCCUCCUCCUCAUUCUUGCCGAAUCUCCCAGGCUUUGCUCCCCUUUCUGGAUGCCAGCAGCUUGUAGUGAUGGAGCAGACCGUUGUCACACACCAACCCUCUCGAUCAGGGUCCAUGUUUCAGGAAAAGGAGGGUGGAGGUUUCUCCACAGGAAGUGACAUGAACUGCUGGUCAAACAGCGUCCCUUACUCGAGCGCAGUCGCACUGACUCAGCCCGGCCUUGGUGUCACCACGACGACCGUCACCACCAUCACGCAGACAGGGGGCGACUGGAGCAGCGGCCUGUUUGACAUCUGCGCAGACGAGCGCACGUGUGUCGUUGGUGCUGUGGCGCCGUGCUGUUUGGACCUGAGUCUCGCUCACCAGUACGGGGAGUGUCUCUGUUUGCCUCUCCUGCCAGGGUCCUCCUUCGCUAUGAGGGUUGCGCUCAGGGAGAGGUACAAGAUACGAGGUAACAUGUGCGACGACUGGAGCGCCGUGUGUUGCUGUUACUCCCUGGCCGCGUGUCAGAUGGCACGAGAGCUGCAGCGGCGCACGGUGACUCGGACGUACCACGUAUCCACCGCACUACAGUGCUCGUGACUGGAACCACUACUGCCAGACCUGACCCCGAAGGUCCCACGCACUUGAACUCAGCAGUGUCAAUUCCAAAGGCCCCUGAAGGAAACCUGCAUAAACCACUUUAUUAGAUUGCGCAGGUACCUAAUGAAGUGGCCAGCAAGCACCCAAAAGAUGCCCGAGCGACCCCUGACGAGACAAGCCGAAAGUCACAACAACAGCUGCAGUUAAAAGCCGAGCACGCCCGCAACCCUAGUGAGGAGAAGCGGCUCAGAAAAUGGAUGGAUGGAUGUUUAAGGCUAGCUGAAGCCAUAUUGGCGUACGAGGUACACCAGAGGGGGAGAAAGACUCCUUUGAAGGUGCCAUCUCGACUACUUUCAUGUGAAAGCUUCAAAGUGAAUGUUUAUGCUUGCUCCACAAGGACUAUUUGUUAUUCCGCUGCCGGUAACGCCCUCACUGGCUGGGGGACCCCGUGAUGCUGAGGGGGGCCUUGUGCUUCAGGAUCCGGGAGGCCCCCGUUCCUGACUCCUUCUACUGAUUUGACGAAGUUGUACUAGUUUGUGUUGGGUGAGUCAUCUUUUUACCACCAAGACAGUUGUAUGACUUUUACAGUGUCAUACCAAAUUAUAGUUAUAUAAAUUCACAUAUAUACCUGUACAGUGUAUCAACACUGGCGGCACGGUGGCCGACUGGUUAGAGCGUCAGCCUCACAGUUCUGAGGACGCGGGUUCAAUCCCCGGUC